ACGCUGGCGGCGUGCCUAAUACAUGCAAGUCGAGCGGACGGAUGGGAGCUUGCUCCCUGAAGUCAGCGGCGGACGGGUGAGUAACACGUGGGCAACCUGCCUGUAAGACUGGGAUAACUUCGGGAAACCGGAGCUAAUACCGGAUAAUGCAUAACCUCUCAUGAGGUUAUGCUGAAAGAUGGUUUCGGCUAUCACUUACAGAUGGGCCCGCGGCGCAUUAGCUAGUUGGUGAGGUAACGGCUCACCAAGGAACGAUGCGAGCCGACCUGAGAGGGUGAUCGGCCACACUGGGACUGAGACACGGCCCAGACUCCUACGGGAGGCAGCGUAGGGAAUCUUCCGCAAUGGACGAAAGUCUGACGGAGCAACGCCGCGUGAGUGAUGAAGGUUUUCGGAUCGUAAAACUCUGUUGUUAGGGAAGAACAAGUGCCGGAGUAACUGCCGGCACCUUGACGGUACCUAACCAGAAAGCCACGGCUAACUACGUGCCAGCAGCCGCGGUAAUACGUAGGUGGCAAGCGUUGUCCGGAAUUAUUGGGCGUAAAGCGCGCGCAGGCGGUCUCUUAAGUCUGAUGUGAAAGCCCACGGCUCAACCGUGGAGGGUCAUUGGAAACUGGGGGACUUGAGUGCAGAAGAGGAAAGUGGAAUUCCACGUGUAGCGGUGAAAUGCGUAGAGAUGUGGAGGAACACCAGUGGCGAAGGCGACUUUCUGGUCUGUAACUGACGCUGAGGCGCGAAAGCGUGGGGAGCAAACAGGAUUAGAUACCCUGGUAGUCCACGCCGUAAACGAUGAGUGCUAAGUGUUAGAGGGUUUCCGCCCUUUAGUGCUGCAGCAAACGCAUUAAGCACUCCGCCUGGGGAGUACGGCCGCAAGGCUGAAACUCAAAGGAAUUGACGGGGGCCCGCACAAGCGGUGGAGCA
rnacentral:rRNA from 2 species